AAACUGAAGAGUUUGAUCAUGGCUCAGAUUGAACGCUGGCGGCAGGCCUAACACAUGCAAGUCGAGCGGUAGCAGGGGGUGCUUGCACCCCGCUGACGAGCGGCGG
rnacentral:rRNA from 1 species